GCACGAGAGAUUUCGGUUUUUUGGUGGCGACCGGCGCACGGGUGUGUAACGCGUAUGCAACCUACCUCAUUCAGGAGGAUAGCCCAUGGAAACGUGGAUUAAUACUCCAUAACACAACAGCUUGGCAUCAAGCAAUUGUUAAAACUCCGGUGGUAAUGGAUGGGCAUGCGUAUCAUUAGUUAGUUGGUGAGGUAAUGGCUCACCAAGACAGCGAUGAUUAGGGGGCCUGAGAGGAUGAUCCCCCACACUGGUACUGAGACACGGACCAGACUCCUACGGGAGGCAGCAGUAGGGAAUAUUGGGCAAUGGACGAGAGUCUGACCCAGCCAUGCCGCGUGCAGGAAGACGGCCUUACGGGUUGUAAACUGCUUUUGUAUGGGAAGAAAAAUUUCUUGCGAGAGGUACUGACGGUACCAUACGAAUAAGCACCGGCUAACUCCGUGCCAGCAGCCGCGGUAAUACGGAGGGUGCAAGCGUUGUCCGGAUUUAUUGGGUUUAAAGGGUGCGUAGGCGGAACAUUAAGUCAGUGGUGAAAUCUUACGGCUCAACCGUAAAACUGCCAUUGAUACUAUUGUUCUUGAGUACAGUUGAGGUGGUUGGAAUGCGUAGUGUAGCGGUGAAAUGCAUAGAGAUUACGCAGAACGCCAAUUGCGAAGGCAUCACUAAACUGUAACUGACGCUGAGGCACGAAAGCGUGGGGAGCGAACAGGAUUAGAUACCCUGGUAGUCCACGCCGUAAACGAUGGAUACUAGAUGUUCGGCUAAUUGAGGCUGAGUGUCCAAGCGAAAGCGAUAAGUAUCCCACCUGGGGAGUACGUCCGCAAGGAUGAAACUCAAAGGAAUUGACGGGGGCCCGCACAAGCGGUGGAGCAUGUGGUUUAAUUCGAUGAUACGCGAGGAACCUUACCUGGGCUAUAAUGUGAGUGACCGUCCGUGAAAGCGGAUUUUCUUCGGACACGAAACAAGGUGCUGCAUGGUUGUCGUCAGCUCGUGCCGUGAGGUGUUGGGUUAAGUCCCGCAACGAGCGCAACCCCUAUUCUUAGUUGCCAGCGAGUAAUGUCGGGGACUCUAAGGAGACUGCCUGCGCAAGCAGUGAGGAAGGUGGGGACGACGUCAAAUCAUCAUGGCCCUUACGCCCAGGGCUACACACGUGCUACAAUGGCCGGUACAAAGGGUUGCCAACUCGCGAGAGUGCGCAAAUCCCAAAAAGCCGGUCUCAGUUCGGAUCGGAGUCUGCAACUCGACUCCGUGAAGCCGGAAUCGCUAGUAAUCGCGUAUCAGCUACGACGCGGUGAAUACGUUCCCGGGCCUUGUACACACCGCCCGUCAAGCCAUGGGAGUUGGGUAGACC
rnacentral:rRNA from 1 species